GAUGAACGCUGGCGGUAUGCUUAACACAUGCAAGUCGAACGGAACCCUUCGGGGUUUAGUGGCGGACGGGUGAGUAACGCGUGAGAAUCUGGCCUCAGGUCGGGGACAACCACUGGAAACGGUGGCUAAUACCGGAUGAGCCGAAGGGUAAAAGAUGUAUUGCCUGAGGAAGAGCUCGCGUCUGAUUAGCUAGUUGGUGGGGUAAGAGCCUACCAAGGCACCGAUCAGUAGCUGGUCUGAGAGGAUGACCAGUCACACUGGGACUGAGACACGGCCCAGACUCCUACGGGAGGCAGCAGUGGGGAAUUUUCCGCAAUGGGCGAAAGCCUGACGGAGCAAUACCGCGUGAGGGAGGAAGGCUCUUGGGUCGUAAACCUCUUUUCUCAGGGAAGAACACAAUGACGGUACCUGAGGAAUCAGCAUCGGCUAACUCCGUGCCAGCCGCCGCCGUAAAAC
rnacentral:rRNA from 1 species